GAAUAUUGCGCAAUGGGGGCAACCCUGACGCAGCGACGCCGCGUGGAUGAUGAAGGCCUUCGGGUCGUAAAAUCCUGUCAGAUGGAAAGAAAUGCCAUAGGGCUAAUAUCUCUAUGGUUUGACGGUACCAUCAAAGGAAGCCCCGGCUAACUCCGUGCCAGCAGCCGCGGUAAUACGGAGGGUGCAAGCGUUGUUCGGAAUUACUGGGCGUAAAGCGCGCGUAGGCGGCUUUUUAAGUCAGAUGUGAAAGUCCCCGGCUCAACCGGGGAAGUGCAUUUGAUACUGGAAGGCUUGAGUACUGGAGGGGAUGGUGGAAUUCCCGGUGUAGAGGUGAAAUUCGUAGAUAUCGGGAGGAAUACCGGUGGCGAAGGCGACCAUCUGGCCAGAUACUGACGCUGAGGUGCGAAAGCGUGGGGAGCAAACAGG
rnacentral:rRNA from 1 species